AGUGAACGCUGGCGGCAGGCCUAACACAUGCCAGUCGAGCGGCAGCGCGGGGGCAACCCUGGCGGCGAGCGGCGGACGGGUGAGGAAUUCGUCGGAAUCUGCCUUUUUGUGGGGGAUAACGUAGGGAAACUUACGCUAAUACCGCAUACGUCCUACGGGCGAAAGUGGGGGACCGCAAGGCCUCACGCAGAAAGAUGAGCCGACGACCGAUUAGCUAGUUGGUGGGGUAAAGGCCCACCAAGGCGACGAUCGGUAGCUGGUCUGAGAGGAUGAUCAGCCACACUGGGACUGAGACACGGCCCAGACUCCUACGGGAGGCAGCAGUGGGGAAUAUUGGACGAUGGGCGCAAGCCUGAUCCAGCCAUGCCGCGUGUGUGAAGAAGGCCUUCGGGUUGUAAAGCACUUUUGUCCGGAAAGAAAUCCAUGGAGCUAAUACCUUCGGGGGAUGACGGUACCGGAAGAAUAAGCACCGGCUAACUUCGUG
rnacentral:rRNA from 1 species